UACGUAGGGGGCUAGCGUUGCCCGGAAUCAUUGGGCGUAAAGCGCGCGUAGGCGGCCCGGUAAGUCCGCUGUAAAAGUCAAAGGCUCAACCUUUGAAUGUCAGUGGAUACUGCCGGGCUAGAGUCCGGAAGAGGCGAGUGGAACUCCUGGUGUAGCGGUGGAAUGCGCAGAUAUCAGGAAGAACACCGACGGCGAAGGCAGCUCGCUGGGACGGUACUGACGCUGAGGCGCGAAAGCGUGGGGAGCGAACAGG
rnacentral:rRNA from 1 species